rnacentral:lncRNA from 1 species
AAAUCAGGGUGGAAUAUAAUCACUGUUCUCAAAUAUCCCAAUAUUCCUUAUGGGGAAGAAAGAUUAAACUUGUUCUGCUUGGUCCCAGAAGUCAGAGCUAAAUUCAUUGUGUUUGGCAUUGGCAAAAGAGGCUAGAAGAGAAAACUUACUAACAACUGGAGAUGUUCAAAAGUGGAGCAGCCUGCCUCAGGAAGCAGAGGAGACCUUCAGGCUUCAGGCUUAGAUGGCCACUCAGGGAUAUUGGAGAGAGGAUUUCUAUUCAGAGAGAGGCUGGAUUAACUACCUCUGAGGUCCCAUCUAACUCUAAAAUUGUGAUCAAUCAAAAUGGGAAUGACCUCUGCACUGGAAAUGGAAAUUGUAUGCAUCUAUCUUGAGAAGAAAAGGACAUCUGGAUGCUGAACUGGAUGUAUAUAUGCAUGCAUGUCUCAGACAGAUCCUAAGACCAAUGACUGAAGCCAGGAUUCCUGUGAGAGACUAUUCUUCAUGUUUAUAACAUCUGACCAGACUCUAUCAUGAGAGGUUGUAGACUUUAGACAGCUACCUUUCUGUAUAUUUGGUAACUAAAGUACUGCCAGAUGUGAUUACUGAACCACUGCCAAUAUUUGAAUGAUCCUGGAAAGCAAUUUGAAUGAUCCUAGAGGUAACAUAGUGUUGAAGAAGGGAAAAUAUCCCAAUUAAAAGAAAAAGAUAAAAGAACAAACUAGAGGCCAGUGAGACUGAUUUCAAUUCUUGGGAAAAUAGUAGAAUGUGUAAUUAAAGAGACAUUUACUGAACACCUAAGGGAUGAGGUGAUUACAAAGACUCAUCCUGGCUUCAUCAAAAUUAGGUCAUGUGUCUAGACAAAUUGUAUUUUUUUUUGCAAGCUCUCUUUAUUCCCCCCCCCCCCCCCAGUUUCAAAGAGAAUCAUUAAAAUCAUGAAGUGAUGUCUUGAUUUGCAAGUGAACUGGAUUUAAGUGAGGCACAGUAGCACCAUCAUUAGACUCUCUCUUAGUCAUUGAAGUUCAGUGACAAGACAAAAAUCAGGAUGACUGGCAAUGGCCUGGGAUGUAGCAGAUGGCCUUGGCAUCUUUGAGGUCUGCCCAAGCUCUAGUACCUCACAGGGUCUGCUUCAGGUACCUUCAUGGCCAUUGGAAAGGAAGUCUUCAUCUGCUUGGGAUAGACAUCUCCCUAACUCACAGAAGGGCUUUUUGUCAUUACUCUUAACAUGAUUUAGCCCAUAUCUGCUCAGAUGGUUCUCCCUGAGUGUGACUGCUGUGCACCCUACAGCUUUUUUUUUUUUAAUUUGUUUUUUGUUAUGUGUAUAAACAAUUUUUCACAAUCUUCUGACAUUUAAAAAUUCACAUUUUCUCCUUGCCUACCUCCCCCCCCUCAAGCCAGUAAAUAGUCUGAUAUGGGUUAUAUAUGUACUUUCACACAAUACAUAUUUCCAUAUUGCUCAGGUAGACACAUCACACAUGCAAUAAAAAUCUCACAAAAUAAAUAAUGGAAGAUGGC